rnacentral:rRNA from 1 species
AUACGUAGGUGGCAAGCGUUGUCCGGAUUUAUUGGGCGUAAAGCGAGCGCAGGCGGUUUUUUAAGUCUGAUUGUGAAAGCCUUCGGCUCAACCGAAGAAGUGCAUCGGAAACUGGGAAACUUGAGUGCAGAAGAGGACAGUGGAACUCCAUGUGUAGCGGUGGAAUGCGCAGAUAUAUGGAAGAACACCAGUGGCGAAGGCGGCUGUCUAGUCUGUAACUGACGCUGAGGCUCGAAAGCAUGGGUAGC